AGAUGUUGGACACAUUUCAAAGAUAGUUGCUAUGGUAAUUAAGAUUAUAGAAAAUCUAAAUGUAAUGGGAUGGUCAUUUUUGAGGUUAUUUCCUGUCGUCUAUUUGUAACUUCCGAAAGCAGUGAAAACAAAGAAAACUAAAAGAGAAAAUCACAGUUCAAAGAGAAAGAAACAUAUCUGGCAUUUGAGAACUACAGAAGACAAAUUAAAGCAGAGUGCAAAAGGAAUUUUAAUAGUCAUUGAAAAUAUUCUGGCUUCAAAAUGCAUGGAAAUGGAGAUGGGACAAAAUGCAUUCUACCAUUUGAUAGCCAAGAAUGAAUAACUUUAAAAGGCUAACAAGAAGAGGAGGCUCGCAGUAGAAGAUACAGACUCUGAAUAAUUAAUAAAAUGUUUAAAUGCUAUUCAGGAAAAUUCAAUAUUCAUUGACAGUCGUCCUGUCAUAUGAAUAAGCUAUUCUAUCAAUGCUUUUGUGUGGGCAGU